rnacentral:rRNA from 1 species
GACGAACCGAGCGAACGUUGUUCGGAAUCACUGGGCUUAAAGGGCGCGUAGGCGGGUGCUCAAGUCCGGGGUGAAAUCCUCCAGCUCAACUGGAGAACUGCCUCGGAUACUGGGUGCCUCGGAGGGUGGUAGGGGGUAGUGCGGAACUAUCGGUGGAGCGGUGAAAUGCGUAGAUAUCGGGAGGAACACCAGUGGCGAAGGCGACUACCUGGCCUGUUCUUGACGCUGAGGCGCGAAAGCUAGGGGAGCAAACGGGG